rnacentral:rRNA from 1 species
GACGAACGCUGGCGGCGUGCUUAACACAUGCAAGUCGAACGGGCGGAUUUGGUAGCUUGCUAUCAUUGAAGCUAGUGGCAAACGGGUGAGUAACGCGUAGGCAACCUGCCUCCUGGAUGGGGACAACAGACGGAAACGACUGCUAAUACCGAAUACGUUCCUUAGGUCGCAUGACUUUAGGAAGAAAGGGUGGCCUCUACUUGUAAGCUAUCGCCUGAAGAGGGGUUUGCGUCUGAUUAGCUAGUUGGUGGGGCAACGGCCUACCAAGGCAACGAUCAGUAGCCGGUCUGAGAGGAUGAACGGCCACAUUGGAACUGAGACACGGUCCAGACUCCUACGGGAGGCAGCAGUGGGGAAUCUUCCGCAAUGGGCGAAAGCCUGACGGAGCAACGCCGCGUGAGUGAAGAAGGUCUUCGGAUCGUAAAGCUCUGUUGUCGGGGACGAAUGUUGAGACCUAGAACAUAGGUUUCAAAUGACGGUACCUGACGAGGAAGCCACGGCUAACU